GUCAACAGCGUAGGAUAAUGACAGGGAAGAGACGAAUUUGUUGAAUAAAGUCGUUAUUUUUGUUUUGUUUUUGCGACACAAAAAGUAUUCUCGUCUCUUCAUAACAUUAAGGUUGAACCACUGCAGUCACAUGACUGUUUUAACAGAUGUCUUUAGUACCUUUCUGGACCUUGAAUGUAGUAAUUUCGUUGCUUUCAAUGGAGCAUAAAAAAACCUCUUCGAUUUUAUCAAAAAUAUCUUAAUUUGUGUUCUGAAGAUGAACAAAGGUCUUACAGUCUUGGAACGACAUGAGGGACAUCCAUCCCUACAUUCGAGGAUGAGAUUUGACUGUCAGGAGUGUCUAGGUCGGCGUCUCACUACGUUUUAGAACAGAACUGGAAAAUAACCAUCUCUCACUGUCCUCAGAACCUCAGGUGAGUGUCGUAAUGGUGUCUCGUUCCAGUGUCUCUUCAGGAGCUGCUCUCACUACAGUACUACUGUUCACUCUCAUAAAGCUAAAGAUGUGACUCCUUCACCCUCCUCGUCUGUUUCUCAGCUCUUCACACCUCAUUUGAUGCUGUAAAUGCUCUUGGCUUGGUUCUUCAUCCAGUAAAAGAAGAAAUAAAGUUUUUGGACAUGAGAGGGAAUAAAUGCUGAACUGUCCCUUUAAGAGUCAUCCGUCAAUCAUCGACAGCAGAGCAUGUUUGCAGUUUAAUAUGAAGAAGAUGGCAGGAGGUGAAGCGGUGACAGAACGUCUCUGCCGGCCCAGAGCCAGAUGGGAAAAUAGUGCUGAGUCUCAGAGCUGCUGGACCUCUCCAAACUUCUGUGCUGCAGAACCGAAUCUGAGAACUGCGGUUUAAACCAUAAAUCCAUCCAUAUAUGGAGUCCUUUCACCAAGAUGAGCUUCAGAUAGGGCAGCGGAUCUGUCCUCAGGGCACACCUACUCUCAGCCGCUGUGUCUUUUGGACGAGAUGAACCGGUGGCUUUGAGAGGCAGAUUAUACAGAGACGUUUCUCUCCCUCCCGUCUGGCCGCAGAGCUGCUGAGUGCGUGAGUGAGUCGUCUUAAGGAGUCUUGCAGGAGAUCAGUUGCUCUCUUACACACACACACACACACACACACACACACAGCAAAGCCUCACACCUUCCUCGCCAAACGUCUGGACACUCGCCCUCCCUCCAUUGUGUCUCGGCUGCUUACAGAGAUGUUUUUUUUUCUCUCAAAGUUAUACAUUAACUUUGGCUGCCCUCCAUUUAUUCUUGCAUUUCUAUUGCAGUGUCCAAGUCCAAUUAAUCCAGAAAAAUUAAGCCUAUUUAUCGGGCCAUUACGUUUUUUUUUUUUCCAUUCUGACAAUUUUCAUGAUAAUUAAGCACCAAUUCUCUCUCAAAUACUCAUUACUAUAAUGCCCUUUUUUUCUAUGAUUCUCAAUAGAUUCUCUAAUCUAUACAAUUAAUCACAGUGAUCAUUCUUAAUCAGCAUAAAUUAAAGCCAAUUUAACAACCACUACCAUGAAGGUUUGCUUACAUUUCAGUAAUGAGAACUGAAGGGGAAUCUGUGCUUAAAAAAGAGUGAAUCUCUGGGUUUCGUAUCUUUUGUCCACAAAAAUACAAAAAUAUCUAAAUCUUCAAAUCUUCCUUCAGUCAAAAAAAAAAAAAAUAUAUAUAUAUAUAUAUGUAGGUCAUUGACGAAUAAGGUUUUUAAAAGUGUAAAAAAAAAAAAAAAAACCAUAAUGGAGAUAUAAUUAAUUCUGAAGUUUUAUUAAGUGUUAACAAUGAGAUUAUGUGGUUUUUAUAAUCAAUUAACACUGCUUUUGUCAUUUAUUACAAGACGGACAAAAUUUGUCACCAAAAAAGUCAUUCAGUUUAACCAAAAUUUCGGUUUUACCGAAUGACGAUAUCUUCAAACAAUGCUAACAGGCUGAUAUCUAGCUAGCUAGCAAAAGGAAAAUCAAACAUUUUAUAUUUAGUACAAGUUUUUAAAAUAUUACAACAUUUUCCAUGUUUUAUAGCGGUUGUACCGAAUGACCUGAUGUUUCGGGACAUGCGUAUGAACAAGUGAAAACAUGAAUUAUUCAAAUAGUUAAGAGAGAGUUAGUUACUUUGCUUCAUGACCAUGUGAUCCUUUGCAGGCGUCUGAAUGAUGUCACAUCCUGUCACAUGAUAUUGACCACAUGACUUGAUCCAAAAUGGUCCCUUUAUAUUGGUUACUCCGAAUGACAUCAAUGAAAUUCAUUUUUCCGGACAUUCUUUCUCAUAACAAAGCAACGACUUCUACACGUAAUUUUAACACCAUUUUGCACUAUGUUGAUAUAUGAUGUUAUAAAAUCAUGCCAGAAUAAAAAAUAUAAACAUUUAUUACAUUUUAAGGUAUUUUAAUCACAAAUGAACGGUUAAACCGAAUGACCUUUUGACAUUUUUAAAAUACCUUUAUAUGUAGCAAAAUAUAAUUAAAAUUUUUGGAUUCAAUAAAAGAGAUCUAGUUGUACUACCUUACAUACUUUGGAUGUCAUAUAUUUGUUUUUAUUAUUAUUAAGGCCUUUGGACAAAAAAAAAAAAGACCCGUCACAGCAUUGACCCAUAUUUUUUUAUAUACAGUAUAUUUUUUUGUAUACAGUAUAUGGGCAGUGGACAGGGGUCAGCAUGGGCACCCUGACUGGUCAGCCCCAUACACAACAAACUGAUGCACUGUGUAUUCUGACACCUUCUAUCAGAACCAGCAUUAACUUCUGGAGCAAUUUGAGCUACAGUAGCUCGUCUGUUGGAUCGGACCACACGGCCAGCCUUCGCUCCCCACAUGCAUCAAUGAGCCUCGGCCGCCCAUGACCCUGUCGCCUCCAAAGACCCAAAUCAAUCAUGUGACACCUCUGAUAGUGUUUAGAGCUGAGUGAUCAGUAUCACAACACACUACAGAGGCUUUAUUUUUCCAGAGUCUUUAUUGUCUGUACACUUAAUUUGCGAAGGUCAGCGUUUAAGACCACAGCAUUGAAACUUUGUUGGCCGAUGCGUUUUCUCAGAAAAUAUUCCCCACUCCGACUGAAGAAGGACCAGCCACAAAUCCCGGUCUUGGCCUAAGUAUUUGCUGAAUGUGCAAAAAAGUAAGAGGGGGAACGGUGGACUGCCAUGCAAAUUAAGUGCAGAUUCUGUCUGUAUAUGAUUUUUUUUUUUUUGAGUAUGUGUGUAAUAAGAGAAAAAAGAGAAGAGUGAAAAAUGGAGAGAAAUAAAUAGAGAGAAGCUGGCAGAAGUCAUUGUUUCGCUUGGCUGCGAGCGGCGCUGUACGGUUACAGCCCAGUCAUUAUCCUGGAAUUCUGAGCUGAGGAGACUAAAAACCUUGACGCCUCUCUUUCUCUCUCUUUCUCCUUCAUAUCCAGGGCUAGAAAUAAUUUAAAGAGAAUUUGAAUUCACUUACAAAACCCCAAAGAAUAGUGACGUGUGGCCAGGGGGAACCAUUUCAGGGGAUUUGUGGCACCAGCGGUGUUCAGACCCCAAGAAUCCAGGAGCAAAUUUUGGGUUAAAAAAUGGAAGAAUUAAUGAUAUUAAUAAUUUGAUACUCUGGGCAGGAGGAGAGGAAGUGUUUAGUUGUGGUUGUGUAAUUCUGAUGAUUGUGUUUGUACAGUAUAUAUUCCAGGCUGGUUAACGGGAAUGCUGGGAGCUGAAGGGCGAUGAAGGCCUGACUUCCUUCUGAGCAGCUGAAGAGAAAAACCAGUAAUGAAAUCCAAAUGGAUGUCAUGGCAGUGGGGGUGAUGGAGAGAACAACAGGACACGUUUCCCAAGCGUCCACGUGUGAAGAUUCAACCCUCCUCCGGCUCACAAGGUUUGAUCCCAAGCUAAUGGUGCUAUCAAGACCUUGAAGGCAUUAAGACAUUUUGGGCCAGUAAGCAACCGCAUGGCAAGUGAGUUCUG